rnacentral:rRNA from 1 species
GCUGGGGGAUAACCUCGCGAAAGUGAGAACAAUACCCCAUGGGUCACUAUGCCUGGAACGGUUAGUGGCUGAAAGCUCCGGCGGCACAGGAUGGGUCUGCGGCGUAUCAGGUCGUAGGGGGUGUAACGUACCUCCUAGCCUUCGACGCGUACGGGUUGUGAGAGCAAUUGCCCGGAGAUGGAUUCUGAGACACGAAUCCAGGCCCUACGGGGCGCAGCAGGCGCGAAAACUUGACAAUGCGAGAAAUCGUGAUCAGGGGACUCCAGUUGGCUGGAUCAAGAGUCCAGUCUGAACCGACUUUAAAUCGGUCGGGUAAUAGGGGCGGGAAAGACCGGUGCCAGCCGCCGCGGUAAUACCGGCGCCCCAAGUGGUCGUCACUAUUAUUGGGCCUAAAACGUCCGUAGCCGGUUUGGUAAAUCCGUGGGUAAAUCAGACAGCCUAACUGUCUGAAUUCUGCGGGGACUGCCAGACUUGAGACCGGGAGAGGUGCGGGGUACUUGCGGGGUACCGGUAAAAUGGGAUCAUCCCGUAGAGACCACCUGUUGCGAAGGCGCCGCACUAGAACGGAUCUGACGGUCAGGGACGAAGCCUAGGGGCACGAACCGGAUUAGAUACCCGGGUAGUCCUAGGUGUAAACGCUGUGGACUUGGUGUCGGGGACCUUCUGAGGGUUUCCGGUGCCGGAGUGAAGAUGUUAAGUCCACUGCCUGGGGAGUACGGUCGC